rnacentral:sRNA from 1 species
UGAUUCGAUCGGGAUACUCAUCAAAUAAAUUUGAAAACCGAGACGUUUCCUGUACCAAUGGCGGGCCACAUAAAACGCAUGCUGCGACUAAGCCGCAAGGCCAGUGGAUUACAAAAGUUAGGAGCUCUCAAAUCUUUAUAGAUUAGGAGUUUUCAUCACAUCCUCACACGGCUUCCU